rnacentral:tRNA from 1 species
GGGGAUUUAGCUCAGUGGUAGAGCACUUGCCUAGCAAGCUCAAGCCCUGGGUUCGGCCCUCAGCUCCCCA